rnacentral:lncRNA from 1 species
UUUGAAGAGAGAAAAGGAAGGGAAGGGGGAAAAGAAUGGGGAGUUAUCAGAAGAGAAGAAGAAGGACGUGAGCUGUCAUCGUUCAGAGGAGGAAAUGAAGAAAACUCAUUAUUGUUGGAGGAAGAUGCAUGGAGUGACCAACUUACAAUGGAGUGAAAGUUCAGUGAUUGAUGGUGCAAGUUAGGAACAUUACGUUAUUAGUACUGUGUCGUUUUGGUUUAUUGUUUAUGUAAUAAGUGAACGACGUGACAUUUUUCACUAGUUACCGUUGAG